CCUACGGGGGACUGCAGUGGGGAAUAUUGGACAAUGGGGGGAACCCUGAUCCAGCCAUGCCGCGUGUGUGAAGAAGGCCCUCGGGUUGUAAAGCACUUUCAGUGAGGAAGAACGCCUGGUGGUUAAUACCCAUCAGGAAAGACAUCACUCACAGAAGAAGCACCGGCUAACUCCGUGCCAGCAGCCGCGGUAAUACGGAGGGUGCGAGCGUUAAUCGGAAUUACUGGGCGUAAAGCGCGCGUAGGUGGCUUGAUAAGCCGGUUGUGAAAGCCCCGGGCUCAACCUGGGAACGGCAUCCGGAACUGUCAAGCUAGAGUGCAGGAGAGGAAGGUAGAAUUCCCGGUGUAGAGGUGAAAUGCGUAGAGAUCGGGAGGAAUACCAGUGGCGAAGGCGGCCUUCUGGACUGACACUGACACUGAGGUGCGAAAGCGUGGGUAGCAAACAGGAUUAGAUACCCUGGUAGUC
rnacentral:rRNA from 1 species